rnacentral:rRNA from 1 species
GAAACCGACCUGGCUCACACCGGUCUAAACUCAGAUCAUGUAAAAUUUUAAAGGUCGAACAGACCUAACUUAAUAGCUUCUACACCAAUAAUAAAUUUUAAUCCAACAUCGAGGUCGCAAUCUUUUUUUUCGAUAAGAACUCUAAAAAAAAUUACGCUGUUAUCCCUGAGGUAAUUUAUUCUUUUAAUCUUCACUCAAGGAUCAUACACCUAUACACCAAUAUAUAAUUAAAGAAAAGUUUUCUUAAUUUUCUUAUCACCCCAACAAAAUAAAUAAAAAUAAAUUCAUCUAAAAUUCCUAAGACUAAACCACACCUUUACUCAUACAAACUCUACAGGGUCUUCUCGUCUUUUACAAAAAUUUAAGCUUUUUCACUUAAAAAUAAAAUUUUAAUAAAUUUAACUAGAGACAGCCACUUUUUCAUCAAACCUUUCAUACAAGCUUUCAAUUAUAAAACUAAUGAUUAUGCUACCUUUGCACGGUCAAUAUACCGCGGCCAUUCAACCACUCAGUGGGCAGGUUARACCUGAAAUCAUAUUCAACAGGCCAUGUUUUUAAUAAC